rnacentral:rRNA from 1 species
GACGUAGGGCGCGAGCGUGUCCGGAUUUAUUGGGCGUAAAGAGCUCGUAGGCGGCUCGUUGCGUCGGCUGUGAAAACCCGCAGCUCAACUGUGGGCUUGCAGCUGAUACGGGCGGGCUGGAGUUCGGUAGGGGAGACUGGAAUUCCUGGUGUAGCGGUGAAAUGCGCAGAUAUCAGGAGGAACACCGAUGGCGAAGGCAGAUCUCUGGGCCGUAACUGACGCUGAGGAGCGAAAGCGUGGGGAGCGAACAGG